GGACGAACGCUGGCGGCGUGCUUAACACAUGCAAGUCGAGCGGUAAGGCCCCUUCGGGGGGUACACGAGCGGCGAACGGGUGAGUAACACGUGGGUGACCUGCCCUCAGCUCUGGGAUAAGCCUGGGAAACUGGGUCUAAUACCGGAUAUGACUCCAUGACGCAUGUCGUGGGGUGGAAAGCCUUGUGCGGCUGGGGAUGGGCCCGCGGCCUAUCAGCUUGUUGGUGGGGUGAUGGCCUACCAAGGCGACGACGGGUAGCCGGCCUGAGAGGGCGACCGGCCACACUGGGACUGAGACACGGCCCAGACUCCUACGGGAGGCAGCAGUGGGGAAUCUUGCGCAAUGGGCGAAAGCCUGACGCAGCGACGCCGCGUGA
rnacentral:rRNA from 1 species